UUUUUACGGAGAGUUUGAUCCUGGCUCAGGACGAACGCUGGCGGCGUGCUUAACACAUGCAAGUCGAACGAUGAAGCCCAGC
rnacentral:rRNA from 2 species